UCAAAUUUCCAGAAACACCAUGUUGGGGUAUGAUGAAAAGGGAAAGCUUAGACAACAUUAGAUCAUUCAUAGGUCACAGGUCAGGGGACCAGAAUAUUUGGCUAGUCUCUAACAACUAAACCUCUUAAUGUGUAACUGUUUGUCUAUCUACAGAUUCAAUGAAGGGUUCAUUAAAUGCUUCUGUGUAAGUCGUCAAGGUCUCCCAAGACUUCUUCAUGUAUGUGAAAUGAGUUGUGCUGCUCCUGAGUUUUUCCUUAA